rnacentral:rRNA from 1 species
GUGGGGAAUAUUGGACAAUGGGGGGAACCCUGAUCCAGCCAUGCCGCGUGUGUGAAGAAGGCCUUUUGGUUGUAAAGCACUUUAAGCGAGGAGGAGGCUACCGAGAUUAAUACUCUUGGAUAGUGGACGUUACUCGCAGAAUAAGCACCGGCUAACUCUGUGCCAGCAGCCGCGGUAAUACAGAGGGUGCAAGCGUUAAUCGGAUUUACUGUGCGUAAAGCGCGCGUAGGUGGCCAAUUAAGUCAAAUGUGAAAUCCCCGAGCUUAACGUGGGAAUUGCAUUCGAUACUGGUUGGCUAGAGUAUGGUAGAGGAUGGUAGAAUACCAGGUGUAGCGGUGAAAUGCGUAGAGAUCUGGAGGAAUACCGAUGGCGAAGGCAGCCAUCUGGCCUAAUACUGACACUGAGGUGCGAAAGCAUGGGGAGCAAACAGGAUUAGAAACCCUUGUAGUCC